CAGUUUUUCAGAAUAAUUUUAGAAGGAUAGGUACUAAGUCUUUUUUGAAUGUUUGGUAGAAUUCCCCAGGGAAGCCAUCUGGUCCUGGACUUUUAUUUUU